rnacentral:snRNA from 2 species
UCGCUUCAGCAGCACAUAAACUAAAAUUGGAACUAUACAGAGAUUAGCAAGGCCCCUGUGCGAGGAUGACACCCAAAUUCGUGAAGCAUUCCACGUUUUC